rnacentral:rRNA from 1 species
AACGAACGCUGGCGGCAUGCCUAACACAUGCAAGUCGAACGAGACCUUCGGGUCUAGUGGCGCACGGGUGCGUAACGCGUGGGAACCUGCCCUUAGGUUCGGAAUAACUCCCCGAAAGGGGUGCUAAUACCGGAUAAUGUCUUCGGACCAAAGAUUUAUCGCCUUUGGAUGGGCCCGCGUUGGAUUAGCUAGUUGGUAGGGUAAAAGCCUACCAAGGCGACGAUCCAUAGCUGGUCUGAGAGGAUGAUCCGCCACACUGGGACUGAGACACGGCCCAGACUCCUACGGGAGGCAGCAGUGGGGAAUAUUGGACAAUGGGCGAAAGCCUGAUCCAGCAAUGCCGCGUGAGUGAUGAAGGCCUUAGGGUUGUAAAGCUCUUUUACCCGGGAUGAUAAUGACAGUACCGGGAGAAUAAGCACCGGCUAACUCCGUG